rnacentral:rRNA from 1 species
GACGGAGGGGGCUAGCGUUGUUCGGAAUUACUGGGCGUAAAGCGCACGUAGGCGGCCUUUCAAGUCGGACGUGAAAGCCCCGGGCUUAACCCGGGAAUUGCGUUUGAUACUGUUGGGCUUGAGACCGGGAGAGGAUAGCGGAAUUCCCAGUGUAGAGGUGAAAUUCGUAGAUAUCGGGAAGAACACCCGUGGCGAAGGCGGUUCUCUGGGACGGUACUGACGCUGAGACGCGAAAGCGUGGGGAGCGAACAGG